UACGGGGGGUGCGAGCGUUGUCCGGAAUUAUUGGGCGUAAAGAGCUCGUAGGCGGUGUGUCACGUCGGCCGUGAAAACCUGCAGCUUAACUGUGGGCGUGCGGUCGAUACGGGCAUCACUGGAGUUCGGCAGGGGAGACUGGAAUUCCUGGUGUAGCGGUGAAAUGCGCAGAUAUCAGGAGGAACACCGGUGGCGAAGGCGGGUCUCUGGGCCGAUACUGACGCUGAGGAGCGAAAGCGUGGGGAGCAAACAGG
rnacentral:rRNA from 1 species